rfam:Schistosoma mattheei strain Denwood, Zambia genome assembly, scaffold: SMTD_contig0003833
GCACUGCUGUGGAGUCCCACAAUAGGACAAAACGGCCGUCCAGUGC